rnacentral:rRNA from 1 species
UACGGAGGGAGCUAGCGUUGUUCGGAAUUACUGGGCGUAAAGCGCGCGUAGGCGGCUUUGUAAGUUAGAGGUGAAAGCCCGGAGCUCAACUCCGGAACUGCCUUUAAGACUGCAUCGCUUGAAUCCGGGAGAGGUGAGUGGAAUUCCGAGUGUAGAGGUGAAAUUCGUAGAUAUUCGGAAGAACACCAGUGGCGAAGGCGGCGUCCUGGCUCUGGUCUGACGUUCAGACACGACAGCAUGGGGAGCGAACGGG